AACUGGCCAGCUACUGCCGUAUGGAACCCUUGUCACUAAUCAGGAACGUCUGACGUUGGGCUCAUCAAUUGGACGGUGAAUAUCGAUAGAUCGGGUGGGCCCCUGGUUGCCGGAGCUGGAUAGUUAACUCCAGGGGGCGGAUCACGUGGUGAGGGAACAGCGGCGGCCUCUGCGAGCGAACAAAGUAGGGUUAGACCUCGCCGCCCAACCGGAGAUAUAAGAUGGAAUCUCUUUACCAAAAUUAUUGGAGAAAAGGUCGAGAAGAACAGACUUAGAGACGGAGACGAAGCAAGAUUCGAUUUUUAGGGUUUCUCCUCUCUCGAUCGAUACCAUUGUUGCCAUAUUUUUCUCCUUUUUUCGGUUGUAUUUUGCUUACGAUUCUGGUUUGGGAGGUAAUGAAUCCAUUUUUCUGACCUUGGGGAAUAGUUUUUCAAAAUAAAAGGGUUCUUUCGUAAGAUUUGUUGAGGUCCCCAGCUCCGAUGCCGUGCUUCUCCCCGUCCCGCCGGAGAGCCCGGUGGGAAGAGAAGGGAGGAAUGCCGGGAGUAACAUCUUGUCUUAUGAUCAUUGUGGUCUGCUUCAAAGUAACUGUCACAAAGCUUUGACAUGGUGUUGCAAUGAUUUCUGCCGUGAUGCCAUUAUAUUUGCAGAAGAGGGGGCUACAUGCCUACAUCCAUGGUGAUAUAUAAAGUCGCAAAGGGACAUUGCAGAAGACCUUUUCAGAAGUUUUGCUGCAAAGAAGGGAACAUCAUUUAAUGGAACAAGAUAUUGAAAGCCUUUAAGCUGUGACACACUGGACUGAUCACCAAAGAUAUUUUCAAGUCAUACUAGAUGUGGUGGAGGAAGAUUUACAAGAGACAGGACAAGAGGUGCAUCAGGAUACAGGAAAUUGGGUCUAUCUGGUAAUGCAAGAAUGUAGGAUACGCAGGACUUCCGUGUGGAUAAGAUAUCUGGCUAAGAUUGCAAAUUUAGGUCAUGUCUCCUGCAAAAUCCUGACAAUUUUUCCUGGGAAGCCUAAUCUGGCAGGUAAGUCUCAAUCUUUCCUCCAGAAUCUGACAGUGGAGCAAAAAUAAAGUUACACAUUGUCUAUGUAAUUUUUUUGUUUGGAGUGUGUGUUAUUUGAACAAUUCUCUUCUUGUAAUUUAUUCAUUUAGUGUAAAGCUGCUGCUUCAUUUUAUUAUA